rnacentral:tRNA from 1 species
GGAGGGAUGGCCGAGUGGUCGAAGGCGGCGGUCUUGAAAACCGUUAGGGCGAAAGCCCUCGGGGGUUCGAAUCCCUCUCCCUCCG